AUUGAACGCUGGCGGAAUGCUUUACACAUGCAAGUCGAACGGUAGAGGGGGCAACCCCUUGAGAGUGGCGAACGGGUGAGUAAUAUAUCGGAACGUGCCCAGUCGUGGGGGAUAACGUAGUGUAAAUUACGCUAAUACCGCAUACGAUCUAAGGAUGAAAGCGGGGGAUCGCAAGACCUCGCGCGAUUGGAGCGGCCGAUAUCAGAUUAGGUAGUUGGUAGGGUAAAGGCCUACCGAGCCAACGAUCUGUAGCUGGUCCGAGAGGACGACCAGCCACACUGGAACUGAGACACGGUCCAGACUCCGACGGGAGGCAGCAGUGGGGAAUUUUGGACAAUGGGCGAAAGCCCGAUCCAGCCAUUCCGCGUGCAGGAUGAAGGCCCUCGGGUUGUAAACUGCUUUUGUACAGAACGAAAAGGUCUCUAUUAAAGUUUGCUAAUGACGGUACCGUAAGAAUAAGCACCGGCUAACUACGUGCCAGCCGCCGCCGUAA
rnacentral:rRNA from 1 species